GAUGAACGCUAGCGGCAGGCCUAAUACAUGCAAGUCGAACGAGAUUAAGAGGCUUGCUUCUUAUGAAAGUGGCGCACGGGUGCGUAACGCGUAUGCAACCUACCUUAAUCAGGGGGAUAGCCCGAAGAAAUUCGGAUUAAGACCGCAUAAAAACACAGGAUAGCAUUAUCCAAUGUUCAAAUAUUUAUAGGAUUAAGAUGGGCAUGCGUGUCAUUAGCUAGUUGGCGGGGUAACGGCCCACCAAGGCGACGAUGACUAGGGGAUCUGAGAGGAUGACCCCCCACACUGGUACUGAGACACGGACCAGACUCCUACGGGAGGCAGCAGUAAGGAAUAUUGGUCAAGGGAGGGAACUCUGAACCAGCCAUGCCGCGUGCAGGAAGACAGCCCUCUGGGUCGUAAACUGCUUUUAUUCGGGAAUAAACCUUUCUACGUGUAGGAAGCUGAAUGUACCGAAGGAAUAAGGAUCGGCUAACUCCGUG
rnacentral:rRNA from 1 species